rnacentral:rRNA from 1 species
CAGUCGCCGCGGGAAUACGAAGGGGGCUAGCGUUGUUCGGAAUUACUGGGCGUAAAGCGCACGUAGGCGGAUCGAUCAGUCAGGGGUGAAAUCCCAGAGCUCAACUCUGGAACUGCCUCUGAUACUGUCGAUCUGGAGUAUGGAAGAGGUGAGUGGAAUUCCGAGUGUAGAGGUGAAAUUCGUAGAUAUUCGGAGGAACACCAGUGACGAAGGCGGCUCACUGGUCCAUUACUGACGCUGAGGUGCGAAAGCGUGGGGAGCAGACAGGAUUAGAUACCCCAGUAGUCCCUGUCUCUUAUAC